AAUCCCUUAACGAGGAACAAUUGGAGGGCAAGUCUGGUGCCAGCAGCCGCGGUAAUUCCAGCUCCAAUAGCGUAUAUUAAAGUUGUUGCAGUUAAAAAGCUCGUAGUUGGAUUUCUGGUAUGGUGCGCCUGGCCCACGGUUGCAAAACCGCGAGUGUCGGUGUGCGCCUGCCAUCUUUCUAGUUAACUGGACGCACUUAACUGGGCGGUCAGCGAUCUAGUUCUUUUACUUUGAAAAAAUUAGAGUGUUUAAAGCAGGCUUGCGCUAUGAAUACAUCAGCAUGGAAUAAUAAUUUAGGACUUUACGCCUAUUUUAUUGGUUUCUAGGAGUGAAGUAAUGAUUGAUAGGGAUAGUUGGGGGUGCUAGUAUUCAUCGGCCAGAGGUGAAAUUCUUGGAUUCGAUGAAGACUAACUAAUGCGAAAGCAUUCACCAAGGAUGUCUUCUUUAAUCAAGAACGAAAGUUGGGGGAUCGAAGACGAUCAGAUACCGUCGUAGUCUCAACCAUAAACUAUACCGACUAGGGAUAAGGGGAAGUUGCUUUUUCGACUUCCUUUGCACCUUAUGAGAAAUCAGAAGUCUUUGGGUUCUGGGGGGAGUAUGGUCGCAAGGCUGAAACUUAAAGGAAUUGACGGAAGGGCACCACCAGGAGUGGAGCCUGCGGCUUAAUUUGACCCAACACGGGGAAACUUACCAGGUCCGGACAUAGUGAGGAUUGACAGAUUGAAGUUCUUUCUUGAUUCUAUGGGUGGUGGUGCAUGGCCGUUCUUAGUUGGUGGAGUGAUUUGUCUGCUUAAUUGCGUUAACGAACGAGACCUCGACCUACUAAAUAGUACAGCGUAAGCUUUGCUUAUGCGUGCACUUCUUAGAGGGACUGUUGGUUCAAAGCCAAAGGAAGUUCGAGGCAAUAACAGGUCUGUGAUGCCCUUAGAUGUUCUGGGCCGCACGCUCGCUACACUGAUACGCGCAUCGAGCUUACAACCUUGGCUGGGAGGCCUGGGUAAUCUUUUCAAAGCGUAUCGUGCUGGGGAUAGAUUAUUGUAAUUAUUAAUCUUCAACGAGGAAUUCCUAGUAAGCGCGAGUCAUCAACUCGCACUGAUUACGUCCCUGCCCUUUGUACACACCGCCCGUCGCUGCUACCGAUUGAAUGCAUUAGUGAGCCUCGAGGAUCGUCUUUUCUGAGGGUAAAACUUCGGUCUAGAUGAGAAUCGCUGCAAACUUGCGCAUUUAGAGGAAGCAAAAGUCGUAACAAGGU
rnacentral:rRNA from 1 species